AUUGAACGCUGGCGGCAGGCCUAACACAUGCAAGUCGAACGCUGUAGCAAUACAGAGUGGCAGACGGGUGAGUAACGCGUGGGAACGUACCCUUCGGUCUGGAAUAACCCAGGGAAACUUGGGCUAAUACCGGAUACGGCAUUCAAGAGGAAUCUUGGCGGCGAAAGAUUUAUCGCCCAGGGAUGAGCCCGCGUAGGAUUAGCUUGUUGGUGAGGUAAAAGCUCACCAAGGCGACGAUCCUUAGCUGGUCUGAGAGGAUGAUCAGCCACACUGGGACUGAGACACGGCCCAGACUCCUACGGGAGGCAGCAGUGGGGAAUAUUGGACAAUGGGCGAAAGCCUGAUCCAGCAAUGCCGCGUGAGUGAUGAAGGCCUUAGGGUUGUAAAGCUCUUUUACCCGGGAUGAUAAUGACAGUACCGGGAGAAUAAGCCCCGGCUAACUCCGUGCCAGCAGCCGCAGUAAUAC
rnacentral:rRNA from 1 species